UACGACAUCCUCAAUAACCUGCCAAAACAUGAUGUGAAUCCGUAAAAUAAAUGCGCGCUUCAUCAAUAACGCGCAGUGUACAACGCGUGGCGUGGCGUUGUUGUUAUGCGGCGUGUCGGUGUCCCGCAUGAGGUUGAUCGACGCGACGCCACACGUAUCGACCGCUUCGCCUGCCGCCGACGCCAAGCUGGCCGCAAUAUGCCGUCGCUGCGAUUAAAGCGAAUAAAGCGUAUAAUCCGCGAGUAAGAGCGGAAUCCAGCGGAGAAGCAAGUGGAAAAAUUCAAUUAAGCGUUACUUGUAAAGGGAUUCAGCGCAAACCCUAUACAGACAUAUUGCAUGCAAUAUAAGAAAAUUGAUUAGGUUUCUUCAUAAUACAUCAUGAAUAUACAGUGUGUUUUUUUUAUUAAUAAAUAUGCAAAACAGA